rnacentral:lncRNA from 14 species
CCACUGUAGCAAAUGUGUGCUAAAGAAGUUUUAGAAAUGAUGCAAGAGGCAGAAGUUGGAGCCACACAAAAGCAAACCUUAGAUGAAGAUAUUGUUCCUGAUUCUCAACCAGUAGGGAGAAGCAACAAACCUUUGCUUCCUUGUGUUUUAGAGAGUUCUUUUGAUAAAAGCAAAACAUGGAAAAAAAGAGCAUGCUCUGUUCCUGAGAAGAAUAUAACAAUGGGUGACAAGCAAAAGCUGAAUCAAUCAUUGGAACGUAUGUCCCACCCAGUUUAUGUUCACUGUUAACUAUUAGCAUGAAAGUGUUUUAGAUGAAAUUUGAAUCUACAGCUGCA